rnacentral:lncRNA from 1 species
CUUCGAGGCAGUUAUUUUCUCAGACAAUUGUGAAGUGCAUUACAAUGAAGGCCGAAAAGGCAGCAUUAAUUACGACAUGGCAUUCUAAGAUGAAACGAGGUAUUGUCAUACAAGUCAUGAAAAUGAAGGUUGACUUAUUGUAAUAAAAAUUUUGUGAUUGGUCGAAAUAACAAAACAUAAGAAUUUGUCCCUCUACAAGAAGUUCUCAAUGUUGAGUUCCACGUAGGAGCAUGGGUCUGGAAUAUCGAAGUUAUCCAACACCUGUCAUCAACAUUAAGGCAUUCAAACGCAAGAAGAAAUCAUGGCCCAAAGAAAAAGCAGCAGAAUGUAUAUGAGAAAUCACGAGUAAAAUACAGAGUUUUUAUUAGGCUUACUAACAGAAAAUUUAAAGUGUUGGGAAUUUACUGCAAAACUGAAAGGUACCUUUAGUUCUUCCAACAUAUUACACGAGAAAUAUCGAUAUACCUGUGGGUGCACAAUGCCAAAAGUGCCGAUUUGCUUCCCUUUGUAAAUGAUGCUCGCUUGUCGGCCUGGAAGAAACUCGGGUUCCUGCAAUAUAAAAUAAUAAUAGUAUGUAAUUUGUUAAACAAUCCCAUAGCAAAUUCAACAGAAUUAAAACAGUUAACAUACAUCUGAACUCUGUAUAUAGUAGCCAGUUUCAUCCCCAGGUGGUACGAAUGAGGUUCCUGCCACUUCCAUGAUUCUAUCCACAAGACCAUGUAUAAGCUGAAAGGGGAAAAAGAGAAGAAACUUAGCAAAUCCUACAUCAUCAAUUAGAUAAAAUGUGUAAGGGGAAGUGCACAAGCAUAAUGACAUGGUUUUGUAAACAAAACCGAACACUGAAUUGCCCAAUGUUUAAAAGUGCAGAUACAAGCGAACUUAAUAGAGCAAUCCACUCAGAAUUGUAUACAGCUAGCUGAAUCAAGCCAUCCUCUUGAUCAUAUUCUAAAGGAAGACCAACAAAUACUAAACUGAAUAAGAUUUUAUCUAUAAGAACCCUCCAAAUCCCCAGAGAUAAGUAUCUCACAUAUCAUCGAGAGGUCAAGAUAAAAAGUGUUGGAAUCAAAGGGUACCUCGAAUCCUGAAGUAGCUCCACAAUACAAAGCUGCAAGAUGACGGCGAUUUGAUGCACCAACAUCUUUUGUGUCGUCGAGUAGCACCACAUCACCCACUUCAAAAAUCUGCAUAUUAGAGUAUAUCAGAUGUAUAUAUAAAUUACAAAAAUAUAAUAGAUGCAAAACAUGUAGAACCUGGCAGAGGAAUCAUGUCAGUCACACCUCAGGACUGAAAGUCCAACAUGCAAAAAUGAACAGUUUGAGCCUCCUAAGCACGUAGAAAAAAUGCCACAAAAUAUAAUAAAUGCAAAACAUGUAGAACCUGGCACAGGAAUCAUAAUCAGACAUGAAAGACAGCCACAGCCUUUGACAUCAACUAUCUCCCAAGUAAUUUAUAUAUUACAAUACUUGCAGAUAACAGUACUAACUCUGUUUAAAUACAUGAGAAUUGCACUAGACAGAUGUUUCUUCAACAUCAAUCAUUUAGUUUGAAAACACUCUUUUGAUCAAAUCAACAAACAGAUCAAAGUGAACAAUCUAUGGAACACAGCCAAUCAUUGUAAACCCUUCAAAAAUUUUCAAUUUCACAAGGCUCUGACUAACAAGAAAACGCAGUUCCACAUAUCUAGUUUUGGUAUGACCACAACAAGAACAACUUUUCUUUUCAUGCUAUGCUUAUUUCAUGCAGAUAGAAUGGUGGAUCCUAAAAUUCUUUAAUAAUGAGGCGAACAAGUCUGCAAAACAUAAAUACAAGGAGGAUCGCAUUAAAUAUUCUAAUCACCUUUAUUGGUUUUGGGUGGUCUUUAUUAUGCCCAAUGGUUUUCAAUAUGCCAGGCAUAAGACUGGUACGGACAACCUGCAAAAAUUCACAGAUAGAAUAAAUGGAAAUGCACUAUUUCAGAGAGAGAGAGAGAAUGAGAGUAAUUGUGCCUUGGUAAAGCUGCAUUAUAUCUUACAGUUUUGUCUUUGUGAACAGAUGCUUUGUCCCCAGAUAGAUCUUCGGCUAUCGCAUCUCCAAGUCAGCAGCUAAAAUUUCCAAAAACCCUUUCUGUAGAUGAUGACACAAGGGUAUCAUCUGCCUCCAGAAAUGCUGAAUCUGGAGCAUGUAAUUAUUGCUGUUGCAUUCUUUCAUAAAUCUGAAACAUAUUUCCUCCGGUCCUUCCUGUAUUUGACUUAAGGUAUGAUGUUUCAAAACUAAUUUGCUCUCAACAUUUUCUGCAGCAGAAGGGUAUGUUCGAGGAAGAUCAUAUAAUAUCAGACUGGAUGACGAAGUUCUACUAAGAUUUUCACCAAAGAACUCUGAGUCAAAUUACUACUUCAGUGAUAUGGUAGUAACAUGAGGAUCUUUUCUAUUGUCUUUAUUUUAGUUCUUCCUUAUAUUUCUUUUUCAUUAUAACUGACAGAUAGGUGGAACCCUUACCUUCUUUCAUGAAGAAGGGCCUAGGAGAUGCCUUGAGGUACUUUUGCAUUUCAUCAUAUAUCACUGUGAACUACCAUUAGCAUAGGGUUACUUUUCUCCGAAUAUGGAUUUGACUGGCUUCUUGGUGCCUUUUAGUUGACAAUAGCUCUGGAGAUGAUGGAGACUAUAAGUCGGCACUUUGUCCAUCCUUCUCGGAGGCAUUCUCCUAUUAUUACUAAGGUAAGUGGUACCGAUACUAUGAUGACUUUUCUUUCUGUAGAUAGGAACUGUAGUCUGUUCAUUUAUUAAACUGAGAGGUAGACAAACAGUUUGUUGGAAACGGGUAGAUCUUUUUAUACUGUUUAGAAUAGCUAAUCCCUGAUUCAUAGGGAUUGAUAGAUAAAUCAAACUUCCAUAAUUACGUAGUCUUUUUGUGUAUAAAUAACCAUGUACAGCAUUUGAAAACAGUUUUGCUAUAUGGUAUCAGAUACCCAUAAAGUUCAAACUAGUAAUUCGAUAUGACUAAGACUCAAAUGAGCACAUGAUUUUCCUGAUUUAGAUUUGCCUAUUGCUGUCAGAGAAGGAACUAGAAAAUGCACACAACACCCUAUUUCUCAUUUUGUAUCCUUUAACAGAUUAUCCAAAAAACAUAGGACCUUCCUUACCACCCUAAAUUCUAUUGGCAUUCCUAAGACACUACCAGAGACAAUUAGGGAUAAGAUGUGGGCGUAAGCUAUGAGAGAAGAAAUGAAUGCACUAGAGAAAUAAAACAUUGGAAAUUGUGAGAGUGCCAAGAGGAAAGAAACCAGUGGGCUGUAAAUGGGUGUUUACCUUGAAAUACAAGGCUGGUGGGACACUAGAAAGAUACAAACCUAGGCUUGUUGUGAAAGGCUAUGUUCAGAAGGCCCGAUCGAUUGACCAUAAAUAAUGUUUAUAAUUUACUGUGAAGAGGCCAACAGGAAAACACUGAUUUUUUACACCUGAUUUGUGCAGGUUCAGAGUGAUCACCAUGAGGUUGUUGCAGAUUUAUUACAGACUAGCUUUCUCUUUUCCAUGCCUAUGGAUGCACCAUUGACUUUUUAUACCUGCUAUGUCUCUGUGCAAUGGGCUCUUCGUUUUGAAUUUCUUACGACUCCAAAGAAUGUGGACUGGACAAGGUACUAUUAUAAUCAUUGUUGGAUGGCAGAAUUCCAUAGUUAAGUCAGAUAUGUUUCUUAUUUACUGUAAUUUUACUUAAUGGCUACAAAACUGCCAGUUACCAGAUCAUGAAAUCAUCAAAAGAAUCGAUCACUAAAUCUUGAAAUCAGCUUUUUGGCACGAAGCUUGCCAGGUGUGUAAGCUGGUUACCAGUACAUGAGCUAAAUUUUGCUAAUUGCAGUUAAUUAAAUAUAAAUUCCUGCUUCUAAGAUGUUAAUGUAAACAUUGAAGUAGAAUAAAAAUAGACAAAAUAGAUCACACCAAAAUGAACUCUUACAUAAGGUCCUUGUUAGUAGCCUUUAAGGCCCUCAUUAAAUUUCAUUACAUUUUUCUAUAUUCUAUUUUCAACCACAUAAUCUUCUAUAAAAUAAUAUUACACGUAAAUCGAAAACUUUCCUUCUAUUUCAACCACUCAUUUUUCAACAACACACUAUUCCACCCAUUUCCAUUUCUAGAAAAUGGAGCCCAAAAGGGGGCUAAGUGGGAUAAAGUGCUGUUACAUCUAAUUAACUCAUUGAUGGAAGCACCUUAUUUUUCAUGAUGGGGGAUUUUGUCUUGUAUUCACUCUGGAUUGCAUAAUGCAAUUGCUCCCAUUUGACUCAUGUGCAUUCCUUUCAUUUCAUGGCUCCAUCCAUCUCAAUUAUUGCUUUGCAAGGAGGUAUAGAAUAAAAACCUCACUUGGUUUCACAUCCGCUUCUAGUUUAUUGAAAAUAUGGUUCCACUGCACUUGAACAUUUCAAAAAAUUAUUGGAGAUCUUUUUUAAUUCGUCUUAUUUUUCUACAGCCUCGUAUAGUCACAUUAUUCUUUGUUGUUACCUGCCAACUGAGGUGGUUAAAACUUGAGAUUUUUAAUUACCGUGAGUGGAUACUUCCAAUUACCGUGCAUGCCCCUCCUCUAGGGGCUGCAGCAGCUCAUACUCGAAAUGAGAAGUCUCUCUCAUUGGAACCCUUGUGGAUUCGUACUUGAAGGUAAACUGACACUCCCAAUUAGGGACGGUUGUUGAGUUCCAAGUGAUCUUUUUUGCUACUCAUCUUGCAAUCUGUAUACACUCUGGAGUCGAAUCACAAUAUUAUCUUGUCAACAGUUGUGAUUGCCUAACGUUCGUCAUUUUCUGAACUUCGCUCAGGUGGGUACAACUCAUUGAAGGUGCAAGAUACAGCAAUGUGAUUUAACGGGUUAAAGCUACAUAUUCCAUGGAAAUUGGGUUCUUCCCAGGGAUCAUGCGGUGAAAUGCUGGACUGCUAUAAUAAAAGUUUCACCCACAUAAGAUCGACUAUUUCACAAUGUAUUGACAAGUGGCGAGGAUGCGUUCCUUUCAGCAUCAGUCAUAGAGUAAUUUAUUUCACACCAGAACGAGAGAAAUUUACCAGUUUCUGUUAAGUUUUUCCUUUCUUCUUUGUUUCGUCGAUUCGUUCCUUUUGUACUUUCGAAAAUUCUCUGAGAUGCCGGAAUUCUUUGUUACAUGCUUCUGCGCUUGUACAUUUGUAAAGUGUUACUUACAUAAUAAUAAUUCUCUUGUUUUCCAAUGCUUCGAGGCAGUUAUUUUCUCAGACAAUUGUGAAGUGCAUUACAAUGAAGGCCGAAAAGGCAGCAUUAAUUACGACAUGGCAUUCUAAGAUGAAACGAGGUAUUGUCAUACAAGUCAUGAAAAUGAAGGUUGACUUAUUGUAAUAAAAAUUUUGUGAUUGGUCGAAAUAACAAAACAUAAGAAUUUGUCCCUCUACAAGAAGUUCUCAAUGUUGAGUUCCACGUAGGAGCAUGGGUCUGGAAUAUCGAAGUUAUCCAACACCUGUCAUCAACAUUAAGGCAUUCAAACGCAAGAAGAAAUCAUGGCCCAAAGAAAAAGCAGCAGAAUGUAUAUGAGAAAUCACGAGUAAAAUACAGAGUUUUUAUUAGGCUUACUAACAGAAAAUUUAAAGUGUUGGGAAUUUACUGCAAAACUGAAAGGUACCUUUAGUUCUUCCAACAUAUUACACGAGAAAUAUCGAUAUACCUGUGGGUGCACAAUGCCAAAAGUGCCGAUUUGCUUCCCUUUGUA